rnacentral:rRNA from 1 species
UGGGGAAUUUUGGACAAUGGGCGAAAGCCUGAUCCAGCAAUGCCGCGUGUGUGAAGAAGGCCUUCGGGUUGUAAAGCACUUUUGUCCGGAAAGAAAUCCUUGGCUCUAAUACAGUCGGGGGAUGACGGUACCGGAAGAAUAAGCACCGGCUAACUACGUGCCAGCAGCCGCGGUAAUACGUAGGGUGCAAGCGUUAAUCGGAAUUACUGGGCGUAAAGCGUGCGCAGGCGGUUUGCUAAGACCGAUGUGAAAUCCCCGGGCUCAACCUGGGAACUGCAUUGGUGACUGGCAGGCUAGAGUAUGGCAGAGGGGGGUAGAAUUCCACGUGUAGCAGUGAAAUGCGUAGAGAUGUGGAGGAAUACCGAUGGCGAAGGCAGCCCCCUGGGCCAAUACUGACGCUCAUGCACGAAAAGCGUGGGGGAGCAAAACAGGAUUAGAUACCCUGGUAGUCCACGCCCUAAAACGAUGUCAACUAGUUGUUGGGGAUUCAUUUCCUUAGUAACGUAGCUAACGCGUGAAGUUGACCGCCUGGGGAGUACGGUCGCAAGAUUAAAACUCAAAGGAAUUGACGGGGUCAUAGCUG